rnacentral:lncRNA from 1 species
AUAUUCAUGUACCUACAUGCAUGAGGCAAAUAUCAUUUAAAAAUUACCGUAUUUAUUUGAUUUUCCUCCCCAAAGCCCCAGGACAUAGUUGCAUAUCCUAGUUGUAGGUCGUUCUAGUUCUGUGUGGGACGCUGCCUCAGCAUGGUUUGAUGAGCGGUACCGCAUCGGCACCCAAGAUCCGAACCUGCCAACCCUGGCCCACAGAAACGGAGCGCAGGAACAUAACCACUCGGCCACAGGGCCGGCCCCUAAAAAUUACCUUUUUUAAAGCUAAAAACGUCUAGGUAGCACUUUCCAACGUUUAUAAAAUCAAAGGCACGGAAUUUCAGAAUUUAAGGAAUCAGUCCAACUCUUUAAUUUUCUUUCUGACAACCAGAAGUUUACAGAAGCAGGAAUUCUUAAAUCUGAAGCUGAUUUGAAAAAUUUGGCAAAUAGACAAAAUAGAAAAAAGUGCUGAACGCUUGGAAAGAGUGGCCGCUAUACUUCACUAUAUAGGGCAUUUUUUGCCUCCCAUCAAGGAGGAAAUGAUGCUGAUCUUGUCUAUUUUCUAAAAACUACACAUAUGAAUGAAUAGUCACACAAACAGCCGUGCGAUUUCUUUGGACAUGAUGGAAAGUGAAGGACGGAUGCACAAAGUUUCCAUUCCUAGCAGGAUAUCAGUUUAAUGGGGCGGCGGGGGGGGGGGNNNNNNNNNNNNNNNNNNNNGGGGGGGGGGGGGGGGGGGGGGGGGGUGUGGUAGGCUGUGAUUUCUUUUUCCCUUUGUGAGUUAAAAUGACGUUAUCGGGUCUUUUCCCCACGAGACCAACUGAAAAAGAGAUCCCAUAUGUGAGAUCAUCACCAUCAGAGACACUGACUGACUGUCCCCAUGGGGAGACACGCUGGUUCACAGCACAAGCGACUGUGUGCUUUCCGGUGGCUUUCCACGUCAGACACAGUGUGAUGUCCACUCCCGGCUCAAAGGAAGUUCGGGCGGCGCACAAACUUAUAAGACUCCAGGGCCUUCAAGCUGCGAUUAAUCAGAUGGUUCCUGACAUGACUGAGAAAACAGACGCAUUGCGUGCCCCUGAAGAGUGUGUGUCUCUGCGUGUUUAAUCCUUCUUCCUGUACACACGCGUUUGACACGGGAAGACAGGCUCGUUCUUGUGCACACUUGAAGAGUUUCACAACUGAUGAAAAUUAAUUUCAGAAUCCGAUGGAGCAACUUGACACCACUGGGCUCCGGCGCCCAGGGAGAGAAAUACAGCACUGAUGGCCAGUUUUCCAUGUGGUCUUCACGGGUAAAGAAAGUUUGCAAAAAGAAGAAAAAAAAAAUCUUGCAUAGAUCAAGCCUCAAAAAUACCUCUCCAGUUGAAAGCAAGAGCUAAGUGAGAAGGUGACCGAGGAGAAGUGUGACUUCUGGCACUGCAGGUGGGACCAUGAAGUGUUUUUUGCACUUUUUUUUCCAGUGGAUUUGGUGAAUUGGACAGACUUUAAAAUUCUGGACUGAAGGUGACUCUGACUGUGGCUUAUGACUGCAGGAAAGUGAGUUUGGCUGUGAUGGCACAGGUUUCAACAUGAACCGAUUCCUUUGCUGUUUUCUGUUAACUGUAUUCGAGAAAUUUUGGUUUCUCAUUUCCCUUUUCCUUUCCUGUAUCUGUAGGAUAACAUCCUAAGGUGGCAAUCGAAACUGCCAAUUACAAAGUAAAUAUCGGGGAACGCCCAAGCAAAGCUGCUUUUCCUUGGGCUUUCCGUGUGUGUUGGGAGACGGUCUCUGAAGCAGAGCGGGAGCGUGCCCAUCAGCCAAACAUGAUAACCCUUUAGGGAAACAGUGGGGAGGAACCCAGCUCUCACGUGUGUUUUCGACUUGCUCCUGUGUUUUCGUUUCAAGGGAUUCUCGUCCUUGUUGCGUCCAAGAAGACCUGCAUAUGAGAAGAGGAUUACUUAGUGGACUUGAUUCUGAGAUUAGUUUUUUUCCUUCAAGAUGGAAGAAUAUGUGAUCUCUAGGAGCAGAAAAGGGCGAAGUGACUAGGGGAGGGAGGAAGGAGACAGGGACAAAGGAGACGUCUUGUCAGCAGGAGGAUUUGGGGUUCAGCCGAGGCAACCAACGCUUGGACCGCUUUGAGAGCAUUCGAGCAUCCUGGCUCCGCCCAGUGAAGGCGCUUGCUUUCUUUGCCUCUAUGGCACCGAGGGGUGCGUGGGCCUGCGGAGUGGCAGUCAGAUGGAGCCCAGCUCUCCACGGCCACACAGCAGCCUGCCGGGAAGCCGGGCCUGGCUCUGAGUGGGGAAGUUUCUGGUUCUGAACAGCGAAGAAAGAGUCUUGUUCUCUUCCUAAGCUUGGACCACUGUCUGCCUGAGCUCUGGUCUCUUUUGCACGGUUUGUGUGCCUUUUUUUCCCUUUAUGCAAUCUUUUUCAGCUUUAGCAGCAGAAAUUUGUCUAGUUGAGAAAACGUGCCAGAGGGUGGCUUCAGAAGGAAAGUGAUCCCGUGUGUUCUGUCUCAGCGUCUGGACUUUUGAAGAGAAAAUUCCAGCUGGAGGGAUUCUUAAAGCCUUAAGUUACUUGAAAUCUAUGUAUUUGCAACCCUGUGUCUCUGGAAUCCUAUGACACUAAACUGGAAUCUCAGGCUGAAUGAGAAUAACCAAGUUGAGUAAAAAGAAGAAAACUCGGUUUCUUGAUACCACGUGUUAACGAUGCUCUUUCUCCAAAGGGUCAGCCCGUUCUUCCUCUAAGGACUUGAAAAUAAAAAUGGACCCCGCAUUUUUUUUAAGCA